rnacentral:rRNA from 1 species
GACGAACCGUGCGAACGUUGUUCGGAAUCACUGGGUUUAAAGGGCAGCGUAGGCGGGCUGUCAAGUCGGUGGUGAAAUCGUUCCGCUCAACGGGACAAUGGCCUUCGAUACUGGCGGCCUGGAGGGAGGUAGGGGCAUGCGGAACGUUCCGGUGGAGCUGGUGAAAUGCGUAGAUAUCGGAAGGAACACCGAUGGCGAAAGCAGCGUGCUGGACCUUUUCUGACGCUGGAGGCGCGAAAGCCAGGGGAGCAAACGAG